rnacentral:rRNA from 1 species
GACGAACGCUGGCGGCGUGCUUAACACAUGCAAGUGGAGCGACGAACCAGGCUUCGGCCUGGGGCAGAGCCGCGAACGGGUGAGUAACACGUGGGUAACCUGCCCCGAUGACUGGGACAACCCGAGGAAACUCGGGCUAAUACCGGAUGUGCUGCUCUCGCUCAAGUGAGAGUAGGAAAGGAAGCUUCGGCCUCCGCAUCGGGAUGGGCCCGCGGCCCAUUAGCUGUUGGUGAGGUAACGGCUCACCAAGGCUUCGAUGGGUAGCUGGUCUGAGAGGACGAUCAGCCACACUGGGACUGAGACACGGCCCAGACUCCUACGGGAGGCAGCAGUGGGGAAUCUUGCGCAAUGCGCGAAAGCGUGACGCAGCAACGCCGCGU